CCCGUGGAGCGACUCCCGAACGCCUGUUGCUGUAAACAUCCCCGACUGGAAGCUGUGACUCUGCCGAGCUUUCAGUCUGAUGUUUGCUCCAGCCAGCUGUUCAUGGGCAUCACCCUGUGU
rnacentral:pre_miRNA from 15 species